rnacentral:rRNA from 1 species
UGCAAGUCGAACGAUGAUGCCCAGCUUGCUGGGCGGAUUAGUGGCGAACGGGUGAGUAAUACGUGAGUAACCUGCCCUUGACUCUGGGAUAAGCCUGGGAAACUGGGUCUAAUACUGGAUACUACCUCCUGCCGCAUGGUGGGUGGUGGAAAGGGUUUUACUGGUUUUGGAUGGGCUCACGGCCUAUCAGCUUGUUGGUGGGGUAAUGGCUCACCAAGGCGACGACGGGUAGCCGGCCUGAGAGGGUGACCGGCCACACUGGGACUGAGACACGGCCCAGACUCCUACGGGAGGCAGCAGUGGGGAAUAUUGCACAAUGGGCGGAAGCCUGAUGCAGCGACGCCGCGUGAGGGAUGACGGCCUUCGGGUUGUAAACCUCUUUCAGUAGGGAAGAAGCGAGAGUGACGGUACCUGCAGAAGAAGCGCCGGCUAACUACGUGCCAGCAGCCGCGGUAAUACGUAGGGCGCAAGCGUUGUCCGGAAUUAUUGGGCGUAAAGAGCUCGUAGGCGGUUUGUCGCGUCUGCUGUGAAAGCCCGGGGCUCAACCCCGGGUCUGCAGUGGGUACGGGCAGACUAGAGUGCAGUAGGGGAGACUGGAAUUCCUGGUGUAGCGGUGAAAUGCGCAGAUAUCAGGAGGAACACCGAUGGCGAAGGCAGGUCUCUGGGCUGUUACUGACGCUGAGGAGCGAAAGCAUGGGGAGCGAACAGGAUUAGAUACCCUGGUAGUCCAUGCCGUAAACGUUGGGCACUAGGUGUGGGGGACAUUCCACGUUUUCCGCGCCGUAGCUAACGCAUUAAGUGCCCCGCCUGGGGAGUACGGCCGCAAGGCUAAAACUCAAAGGAAUUGACGGGGGCCCGCACAAGCGGCGGAGCAUGCGGAUUAAUUCGAUGCAACGCGAAGAACCUUACCAAGGCUUGACAUUCACCGGACCGCCCCAGAAAAUGGGGUUUCCCUUCGGGGCUGGUGGACAGGUGGUGCAUGGUUGUCGUCAGCUCGUGUCGUGAGAUGUUUGGGUUAAGUCCCGCAACGAGCGCAACCCUCGUUCUAUGUUGCC